UCGACGUACAGGGAAAGCAUUACAUUUCCCAAUGCAAAUUUGGAGCAGAUUUGGGCUGUACAUUCCAUUUGCAGCGUCAGAAAGUAAACUUUUCCUCUAUGGAGUUGAAUUGUACCUAUGCAUUUUCCCAGUCUCUCAGUAGUCUCAUUGACAAUGACUGAUGGGAAGACCAUGCAUGUUACAUUG
rnacentral:snoRNA from 1 species